ACGGGAGGCAGCAGUAGGGAAUCUUCCACAAUGGGCGAAAGCCUGAUGGAGCAACGCCGCGUGAGUGAAGAAGGUUUUCGGAUCGUAAAACUCUGUUGUAAGGGAAGAACAAGUACAGUAGUAACUGGCUGUACCUUGACGGUACCUUAUUAAAAAGCCACGGCUAACUACCUGCCAACAGCCGCGGUAAUACCUAAGUGGCAAGCGUUGUCCGGAAUUAUUGGGCGUAAAGCGCGCGCAGGCGGUCCUUUAAGUCUGAUGUGAAAGCCCACGGCUCAACCGUGGAGGGUCAUUGGAAACUGGGGGACUUGAGUGCAGAAGAGGAAAGUGGAAUUCCAAGUGUAGCGGUGAAAUGCGUAGAGAUUUGGAGGAACACCAGUGGCGAAGG
rnacentral:rRNA from 1 species